CCUACGGGCGGCAGCAGUGGGGAAUAUUGGACAAUGGGGGCAACCCUGAUCCAGCCAUGCCGCGUGUGUGAAGAAGGCCCUCGGGUUGUAAAGCACUUUCAGUGAGGAAGAACGCCUGGUGGUUAAUACCCAUCAGGAAAGACAUCACUCACAGAAGAAGCACCGGCUAACUCCGUGCCAGCAGCCGCGGUAAUACGGAGGGUGCGAGCGUUAAUCGGAAUUACUGGGCGUAAAGCGCGCGUAGGUGGCUUGAUAAGCCGGUUGUGAAAGCCCCGGGCUCAACCUGGGAACGGCAUCCGGAACUGUCAAGCUAGAGUGUAGGAGAGGAAGGUAGAAUUCCCGGUGUAGCGGUGAAAUGCGUAGAGAUCGGGAGGAAUACCAGUGGCGAAGGCGGCCUUCUGGACUGACUCUGACACUGAGGUGCGAAAGCGUGGGUAGCAAACAGGAUUAGAUACCCUGGUAGUC
rnacentral:rRNA from 1 species